ACGAACGCUGGCGGCAGGCCUAACACCUGCAAGUCGAGCGAGGACUUCGGUUCUAGCGGCGGACGGGUGAGUAACGCGUGGGAAUGUGCCCUUCUCUACGGAAUAGCCCUGGGAAACUGGGAGUAAUACCGUAUACGCCCUUUUGGGGAAAGAUUUAUCGGAGAAGGAUCAGCCCGCGUUGGAUUAGGUAGUUGGUGGGGUAAUGGCCUACCAAGCCGACGAUCCAUAGCUGGUUUGAGAGGAUGAUCAGCCACACUGGGACUGAGACACGGCCCAGACUCCUACGGGAGGCAGCAGUGGGGAAUCUUAGACAAUGGGGGCAACCCUGAUCUAGCCAUGCCGCGUGAGUGAUGAAGGCCUUAGGGUUGUAAAGCUCUUUCAGCUGGGAAGAUAAUGACGGUACCAGCAGAAGAAGCCCCGGCUAACUCCGUG
rnacentral:rRNA from 1 species